rnacentral:rRNA from 1 species
GAUGAACGCUGGCGGCGUGCCUAAUACAUGCAAGUCGAGCGAACAGACGAGGAGCUUGCUCCUUUGACGUUAGCGGCGGACGGGUGAGUAACACGUAGGUAACCUACCUAUAAGACUGGGAUAACUUCGGGAAACCGGAGCUAAUACCGGAUAAUAUUUCGAGCCGCAUGGUUCGAUAGUGAAAGAUGGCUUUGCUAUCACUUAUAGAUGGACCUGCGCCGUAUUAGCUAGUUGGUAAGGUAACGGCUUACCAAGGCAACGAUACGUAGCCGACCUGAGAGGGUGAUCGGCCACACUGGAACUGAGACACGGUCCAGACUCCUACGGGAGGCAGCAGUAGGGAAUCUUCCGCAAUGGGCGAAAGCCUGACGGAGCAACGCCGCGUGAGUGAUGAAGGUCUUCGGAUCGUAAAACUCUGUUAUUAGGGAAGAACAAACGUGUAAGUAACUGUGCACGUCUUGACGGUACCUAAUCAGAAAGCCACGGCUAACUACGUG